AUACGGAGGGUGCGAGCGUUGUUCGGAAUCACUGGGCGUAAAGGGCGCGCAGGCGGUCUGUCAAGUCAGAUGUGAAAGCCCACGGCUCAACCGUGGACGUGCAUCUGAAACUGGCAGACUCGAGUACCGGAGGGGAAAGUGGAAUUCCCGGUGUAGAGGUGAAAUUCGUAGAUAUCGGGAGGAAUACCGGAGGCGAAGGCGACUUUCUGGACGGAUACUGACGCUGAGGCGCGAAAGCGUGGGGAGCGAACAGGAUUAGAAACCCUAGUAGUCC
rnacentral:rRNA from 1 species